rnacentral:rRNA from 1 species
UACGGAGGGUGCGAGCGUUAAUCGGAAUUACUGGGCGUAAAGCGUGCGUAGGUGGUUCGUUAAGUCCGUUGUGAAAGCCCCCGAGCUCAACUUGGGAAUUGCAGUGGAUACUGGCGAGCUAGAGUGCGGUAGAGGAAGGUGGAAUUCCCGGUGUAGCGGUGAAAUGCGUAGAGAUCGGGAGGAACACCAGUGGCGAAGGCGGCCUUCUGGACCAGCACUGACACUCAAGCACGAAAGCGUGGGGAGCAAACAGG